CAGUAGCCACGGGAAUACGUAGGUGGCAAGCGUUGUCCGGAAUUAUUGGGCGUAAAGGGCUCGCAGGCGGUUUCUUAAGUCUGAUGUGAAAGCCCCCGGCUCAACCGGGGAGGGUCAUUGGAAACUGGGAAACUUGAGUGCAGAAGAGGAGAGUGGAAUUCCACGUGUAGCGGUGAAAUGCGUAGAGAUGUGGAGGAACACCAGUGGCGAAGGCGACUCUCUGGUCUGUAACUGACGCUGAGGAGCGAAAGUGUGGGGAGCGAACAGGAUUAGAUACCCGGGUAGUCCCUGUCUCUUAUAA
rnacentral:rRNA from 1 species